rfam:Populus trichocarpa scaffold_18_contig_206, whole genome shotgun sequence.
UGCCAUUGAUGAAAGAACUGGUAUAUUUGUCACGAAUGAUGAAGCUGUGAUUACAAACUUACCACUACUGCCUUCCUUCUGAGGCC